AAGCUCGUAGUUGAAUUUCGGGAUCAAUACGUCGGUCGUGCCUCCGGUAUGUACUGGCGUCGUUGGUUUCUCCUUUCUGAGGAACCAUGAUGCCAUUAAUUUGGUGUCGUGGGGAGUCAGGACUGUUACUUUGAAAAAAUUAGAGUGUUUAAAGCAGGCACACGCUUGAAUACAUUAGCAUGGAAUAAUGAAAUAGGACGUUCGAUUCUAUUUUGUUGGUUUCUAGGAUCAACGUAAUGAUUAAUAGGGAUAGUUGGG
rnacentral:rRNA from 1 species